UCUUUCAACACUGUGAGAAGUGAUGAAAAAAACAAUGCAGUGAUUUUUAUAUUCUUGUGUCAUUAACUCUUCAAUAAUUUUCCCUUUUUUUUUUUUUUUUUUAAUUUUCAUCUGCAUUGUUAUAGGUGUUCAGCAAGAGAGAGAAACUUUUGGAUUAAUUUUACAAAACAUGAGCAUUUGAGUGGUCACAAGGAUUAAGCUGCGCUGUGGGCAGAGAUUGUUGCUGCCUUGCUAAAGGUUUCAUCAUCUUUUGCUUAUUUCUCAACUGAAAGAAUAAGCUGUGAAAUCAAUUGGUUCCAGCAGGAAUGAUUAUGCACCUCAGGCUGAUUUCAGGAGACUCUCUGGAAGAAGUAGAAAAUACCUGGAUAUGUACAUCUGUGUUGGCUUCUCAAAUCACUGUUCAGCUCCUUCCCAAAUGAGCUCUGAAGAUGGAAAUCUAAACUCCUAAUGAAGAAUGUAUUCCUUUGGUGCGUAAUAGGAGUGAAUAAAUGCAAACUGAAGUCAAUGAAUGAUUGUCCUACUACCUAGGGUAAGCUGAAACCAAAAUUACCUGUUUCAUCUUUAUAUAUUCAAUCUUGUUCCUAUGGGAUACUGCUGAAAACUAAUACAAGG
rnacentral:lncRNA from 1 species